CUCCAUCCAUCCGUGUAUAUCUAUUGGUAUUCUGGAUGUUGAUAUUUUUUCUAUUAUCCUUGUCAAACUUUAAAACAGUUUGAUUUAAGACAAAUCUGUGGGCCUUAUGUACCCGGAUGGAGGGAAUAUUUUUUCUGAUCAACUAUCCUGAUUUCGCUCUCAUUUUUUGAAGUUUGAGUAGAGUGAACAGAAAUGUUGUAUGAGCAGUGCAUGGCCUCACCUAAUUAUUGAGUUUAAUGGAAAAGUGUUCAUUUGCAUUUUUUUUUUGAACCGGGCAACCCCUUUUCCAUUACUCACAUAACGGAAAUACAAAGUUCAGUUUUGAAAAAGGAAACCAGAAAAAGGGGUGCGAGUUCAGAGCAUUCUUGGGAAACCUACACAUAGACACUCAUCAUCGAGCAGCCUAUCGUAGGGCAAAAACCCAAGAACACCCGUACCACGCACAGACCAUCUACAAAGUUUUAGGAGAACUGCAAGUAUAUAUUACACAGGUCAUUGCCUGAAAUCACUCCACGCAGGGAGGUCACCACCAAAUCACUAAGAACCACCAGCUACAUCCAUCAACAACCAUCCUCUAGGGCCGCACAGAUCCUCAGCAUGUUCGACGCGUUCCUCUUCAGCAUCUUCGCCCCCCGCUCCAUCGCCAGUUUGUCUUCCCCUGUUAGGAGUCCUGCCUAAUAUGUCAGGAAUCCACAAGCAGAAUAAACCACAUCAAAAGGGGACCCCAACUUCUUCUCAAAUGUCGCGCGAUUGCGGCAGUUCCACAAUGCCCAACAGAUAGCAGCCAAACCACAAGUAUAAAACCUGACACCAUUAGGCAUAUAGGCAAAGCACCAAGCGUAAAAUUGCCAAAGAUUAUCAGGACCAUUACUAGUCCCAAGCAUACACCCCAUUGUUCUUCAAACCACUCUAGCCACAGGGCAAGAAAAACACAAGUGUUGUGAAGUCUCCCUUUCUGAACAAAAUGUUCAUUUGCAUUAGUGUGUGGUUGAUAACCUUUUUAUGCUUCAUGAACAACACUAAUUUCAGUUGUAGGUAUUGCUACUUGCUGAAAAACCUGUAAUGAUUUCUCAUAAGAUGCUAGUUUAGAAUUCAGAUUGCUUGAACAUGGAAGAUUAUUUCCAUGCAGAGAAAAGAAGGAAGUUGGAAGAUUACACAUUCUUGUAAUGUGAAGAAGAUUAUCAUGACUACCAGUUGAUAAUGUACUCCUUCUGUCCCAAAAUAAGUGACUNAGUCACUUAUUUUGGGACGGAGGGAGUAGUAAAUUAUCCUGUCAAUGAAUAAUUUGUUUUUAGAGGUCAACUAGCAAACUGCUCAUUUCUACAUUCUUUUAAUCAACUGCACUUUGUUCAUAAUUGUGGCGAUCUGUAGUUGUUCAACGUCUUAAAUUAUCCAUAAUGUUUUAUUAUGCAAGUACGAAGUUGUUUGCAGUGUUAACAACUUAACUACCGGGCAGAAUGUUGGCAACAGAAGCCAUUGCUGAUUUUUUUUCUAAUGUCAUGGUCCAGCAAAUCAUAACUGGAUCUCAUCAUUUUUGUUACUUUUAUCCUUGACCAGGACCCUGAGGCCUCUCUGGGAAACAAGAGUUAGCCCAAAUGUCAUCUACAGUGCACAUCAUUUGCCUGGUGACACUUCGACGCUGGUCGUUGGUGGUAUUGAUGGCGUCCUUCGCCUGAUAUGCCAGAGAACCGGCGAUACUAUUCGAAGCUUCAUCAUGGAUGCAGGCUACCCAGCACAGUCCAGCUCCAGGCUGCAAGCUGAACAAAAGAAUGUCCGCCCAGCGGAAUCUGGCCCCAGACAGCAAGUCGAAAAGAAGCGAGUCCAUGAAAUCGCUCCGGAUGCCCGGCUGGACAACAUUCCUAUGCACCUGCGCCCGCCAAUCGCCGGCCUGUCAGUGGGCAUGAAGAAAAUCGUGACCACGCACGGUGAAAACUACAUCCGCGUCUGGAAAUUCCGCUCAUAGAGUUCUUAGAAUGGUCAUCGGGAAUUCAGAAGAACUUGCGCUGUUUCUAAACGAGACACUGUAAGUAAGCUUGUAACAGUACCCUGAAGAUGUAGUGUUGGUGUUGACACGCUGUACCGCCAACGCCAUUUGUAUUGCCGUGGAAAAUAAUAUUUAUGUCGAAUUUAUGUUCUUUUUUCUCCGGAAGGAAAAGAGAAUUAUAGGAGUUACAAUGUGUUCAGUUUUGUGUACUUGCCUUGCCUCCUCCGCCAAUUUGCUCCCAUCCGCG
rnacentral:lncRNA from 1 species